GGAUGUUGGCUCUGCUCUGACGAGAAUGGGCAGAGCUGAAAAGUCCAGAGCUGAAAAGUCAGCUCUGGCGUGUUUACUCUGGAAUUUUAGCGAUGGAGCGUUGACUCUGGAAAUUCAGCUCUGGAUCGUUGACUCUGGAAAUUGACUCUGGUGUACAGAGCUGAAAAGUCAGCUCUGUCGGUUGACUCUGGCGUACAGAGCUGAAAAGUCAGCUCUGUCGGUUGACUCUGGCGUUUUACUCUGGCGUACAGAGCUGAAAAGUCAGCUCUGCUCUGGCGAGCGGGCCUUCAGCUCUGGCCAGCUUUGCUCUGCACACCAAAACACCUAAAAAAC
rnacentral:lncRNA from 1 species